AGAACUUAUCCAACCCUUUUCUCACUAUAAUAAUAAUAUUCACCAUAUGCUUUCCAUGUCCAUUGUCACUUUCAUUAUCAAACAUUUCAUAUUCAAAUACCAAAAUGGGAUUCAGAAAGGAAUUAUGAAUAGUAUAACAUACAUAAUUGAUUGAUAAUAGUUUCAUGAAAGCCAUCAUUCAUGACUGUCACCCCCUUUGCUUCUUCUUCUUCACGGAUGAAGAAACAAACGAACAGAAAAAAAAAAACUCCAUAGCGGACCCCAACGUCGCACACUCCAGCGUCACUUCCAAACGAUACCCGUUCUCCUCCAAUCUGUCCGCCAGUCCCUCACAAAACCCCGUCGACCAAUAGAUUCGUUCCAGUCAGCUGCUCCGACCAGCAGCAAUUAACCAGCCUCCCCGUCGUCCAGUCGUCCACCCAAAACGACCUCCAGCAACGAAACCAGCAAACAGCCCACGCCCGUCGACCACUUCACUGGCCAGCCUUCCCCGUCUCCUUCACGCAGCCACAGGUGAACGUUGAGGUCCUUGGCAGCCUUGGUUCAAGUUUUCCGGCGAGCGUCGAAGUCGACGAUAGUCAUUGUUCGAGUUACCUUUCCCGUUCGAGGUGCGGUCUAUUGGUCUUGCUCGAAUUCAAUCUGUGGUUGUGCAUUAGUAUGAAAAUCUUAUAUGAAUCUUUAGGUUAUAGACGUUCCUUAAUUACUUGAUAACUACGAAUUAUUCAUUUAUGUUAGAGGUUUUAUUGAGGCAGUACUUGGGAACAAACAUGAAUUUAUAGUUUUUUUCUUAAAUAUUUUACUUACCUGCGUGAACUAAUGAUUUGCUUAAGAAUUGGUUUUGCCCAUUAUCAAAUUUGUGUACAGCAAGUCCAAAUUCACUUUUAACUUUCACCACAAUCCGUUAGCUGCACAACUCCAUUUGCUGCAGUUUGCUGAAUUUUUUUUUUUGGCGUUUGAAAGUAUAUCUAGAUACAAUUGAAUUUUAGCCAAAUUCGAAAGGAAAGGGCAUUGCUUAAGGAUUGAGUUUGCCAUAAACCUUCAAGUUAAGUGUUUGAUCUAUCCUAGCUUGAGAGAAUAGGAGUUGAGUCUAUAUGCUAAGUGCUAUGCGUGGAGUCCCACGUAUAGGCAUGGUGACGAGUAUCUAUACGUUGGGGGGUCGAAUAUGACCGUCAAUUUUAAAUUGAUUAAACAUUAAUAAUCUUACGUGAUUAUAUGAAAGGAAUUAUUAUUAUUGGUUUCAUACCGUUAUUGUUUAUAUUUUGUUGAUUUAUUAUUAUUGGUUCCAUACCGGUAAUAUAUAUAUUUUGUUGAUUUAUUGUUGUUGGUUCCAUACCGGUAAUAUAUAUAUANNNNNNNNNNNNNNNNNNNNNNNNNNNNNNNNNNNNNNNNNNNNNNNNNNNNNNUAUAUAUAUAUAUAUAUAUAUAUAUUUGAUUUAUUAUUAUUGGUUUUCUGCCGGUAAUAUAUUGCAUUGAUUAUUGUUAUUGGCCAUAGUCGGCAGUGACAUAUUGUGAACUGAUUUGAUAAUGAAAUGGGAGCGGGUGGUACGCCUACAAUAAGAUAUUAAAUGAAAUGGGAGCGGGUGGUACGCCUACCACAAGAUAAUAAAUGAAAUGGAAGCGGGUGGUACGCCUUCACAAGAUAUUAAAUGAAAUGAGAGCGGGUGGUACGCCUACCAUAAGAUAUUAUGAAAUGGGAGCGGGUGGUACGCCUACCACAAGAUAUGAAAUGAAAUGGUUCGGGUUGCACGCCUGCAACAAGAUGGUUUGAACUUGAAAGUGAAUCAAAUUCCUUUAUUGCAUUCCUGCCAUUAUAUUUUGUUGUUACCCCAGAGCAUAUUUUUCCCUUCUCAAAUAUUUAAUGUUUGCUUCCUGUUAUUUUUGUUGUAUAUAUAUUUAAACUGUAUAGGUUUAUGUGAGUGUCUGGUCCUAGCCUUGUCACUACUUCGCCGGGAUAGGCCGUGCACUUACCAGCACAUGAGGUCGGUUGUGCUGACUCUACACUCUGCUCUCUUUUUUGCGCAGAUCCAGGUUUUGGACAGCAGCAUCAGCAGUAGUGCGGCUGUUAGCUUUUGAUCAUCGAGACACCGAGGUAGCCUUGCAGGCGUCCGCAGGACCCGGCGUCUCAUCUAUCUUUAUUUUUUAGUCUGUUAUCUCAUAUAUUCGAGACAAACAAUAUUUUAUUUCUUUCAUAUGGUUAUGUGUAUUAUUCUUAGAAGUUCGUGAGUAUUGUGACAGUAGUUCUUGGGCAGUGUUUCACGUUGGAAUUUCAGUAUCGCAUAUAGUAAAA
rnacentral:lncRNA from 1 species